UACGAAGGGGGCUAGCGUUGUUCGGAAUUACUGGGCGUAAAGCGCGCGCAGGCGGUCUUCCAAGUCAGUGGUGAAAGCCCGGAGCUCAACUCCGGAACUGCCAUUGAAACUGUUAGACUUGAGGAUGAGAGAGGUGAGUGGAAUUCCCAGUGUAGAGGUGAAAUUCGUAGAUAUUGGGAAGAACACCGGUGGCGAAGGCGGCUCACUGGCUCAUAUCUGACGCUCAGGCGCGACAGCGUGGGGAUCAAACAGG
rnacentral:rRNA from 1 species